GACUGGGAGUCUUCGUGGUCGGAUUCCCCACCCUUCCUUACCUCGUAAACCGACAGACCUGGGUUUCGCCGCUGCUCCUGUUCCUCGAGCAGCCUUCAAGCAGUGGAAAUUACGGAGAAAUGAACAUUCUGAAAGCGCCUAGUAAAUGGUAAAGGCCUGGCUACUGCAGGAAGAAAAGGGCAAGGCAGGCAUCUCCAGAGCACAGCCUCGGGCGUGGUGAGAGGCGCGCGCUGGGCGCUGUGUGGGGGUGGGGAGCGCUUUUGUGCACCGCUGGUUCCUCCGCAGGCUCAGGUGUGUGCGGACAGGUGUCGCCACCUCCUUCCAGACCGUCUGCCCCUUGGGGGGAGGCAGAGUCUGUGCCUGCACCCGCCAACCCGGGACCUGAACUGGGAGCCACGUGUUGCCCUGUGAAAAAAGCCCCCGAGUGGUUGUGGUUUGCUUUUUUACACCACAGAUUGGGUUAGAAUCAUUUUCCAAAAACUUGCAAGACUUGAUCACCCUUGCUUUAAUCGGCAAGGAAGGGGGCUCAGAGAGGUUAUCGCAACGUAGGGAGGCCGCCCGAUCCGUAAGCAGGGAAACCGGAACUCGACCUGGAUCUAUGGACUGCCAAGUUCAGGCCCUUUCCAGCCUCAGUAUUUGCUAACCAGGAAGUUUUCAGGCUCUCAGGCGCGCCCCCUACGCGGUUUCUGGUUCACUCCUUAACGCACGAUCCUUGUUGAAUGAUUGCCCAAUCAGAAUUAGUUUGGCCUUGCCCCGCCCUUGAUUCCCUGGGUAACCCUGGGCCCCUCCCCCACCCCUCACUUUAUCCCAUGCAACUGUCAGGUUUAUAAUUAAUCAGGCAAGGUCUUGCAAAAUGACUUUCUCGUCAAUUUCUAGCUCAGGAAGAGAUCAGCACCAUGUGAGAUGCAGUAUUCUAACGCUCUGAAAUGUUACUUGUUGUUUAAUAAGUGAUCAUCAU
rnacentral:lncRNA from 1 species